rnacentral:rRNA from 1 species
CCUACGGGACGCAGCAGUGGGGGAUAGUGGACAAUGGGGGAAACCCUGAUCUAGCGACGCCGCGUGAGUGAAGAAGUAGUUCGGUAUGUAAAGCUCUGUCAGCAGGGAAGAAAGAAAUGACGGUACCUGACCAAGAAGCCCCGGCUAACUACGUGCCAGCAGCCGCGGUAAUACGUAGGGGGCAAGCGUUAUCCGGAAUUACGGGGUGUAAAGGGAGCGUAGACGGUGAUGCAAGUCUGGAGUGAAAGGCGGGGGCCCAACCCCCGGACUGCUUGGGAAACGGUGUAACUGGAGUGCAGGAGAGGUAAGAGGAAUUCCUAGUGUAGCAGUGAAAUGCGUAGAUAUUAGGAGGAACACCAGUGGCGAAGGCGGCUUACUGGACUGUAACUGACGUUGAGGCUCGAAAGCGUGGGGAGCAAACAGGAUUAGAUACCCUUGUAGUC